AUUUUUUUUAAAUGCGUGUCUCCUGGGAGAUGUUGCGACACACAAGACAAAGCCUGUCAGAAGUUUGUGGAGAUAAAGGACGUUUUUCUGAACGCACAGGAGCAGCAGAAAACAAGACGAAAUCAUUAGUUCUGAUCGCUUAAACAGUUUCUUUUUUCUGUUUGGUCAUUCAAAACUUUGUGUUGGUUGUUUUGCCAAGUUUGCCAGCGCACCGGGGGGAAUUCAGCACAAUGCAAUCAGGUGUAAACUCUCCAGAAAGGAGACAAAGCCAUGGCGCACAAUGCAACUUUUUUCUUCUUUUUUUAUUAUUUUAUUCCCCCCCGAGAACGAAUAAGGAGUCCGAGAUGAAAGCAAAGAGAUGUGAUUAAUCCCAAAAUAAAAAUAGGUGCGUCUUGAACACGUUUAGGAAAGUUGUUGGAAACAAAUCAACAGAUGGGAUUUCUUAACAGAAUAAGCUUCUCCUCCAGUUAAAAGUGAAGAAACCUAAAGAAAAAAAAAUGCAGAAAUCACACCGAAAAGGUACGGAGCUGACUGACGAGCAACUUUUAAGACGGAGACGAGGAUUAAGAGAUGGUGCAGCUUCUUUUCGGGGAGAAGGUAAAGACUUUUCGCAGGAGGAUUUAGACUUCAGCAACAGCAGCUCCAGUCGGAUUGUGUUUUGCUUGGAUAUAAAAUCUUGUGGAGACAAUUUUGAGGAUUAUAACAAUACAUAGUCAAGCUUUCUGCGAGACACGUUCCAGGCCGGCGUCCUCGAGGUGUUUGGCUUCUGAUUGUUCUCAGCAACAGCUAUUAUCUGGUCAGCAUGGAAUCAUUGUCUGGAGCCAAGCCCGAUGAUGUCAUUUCCUUCACAAACAAGUCCAGCUACUUCUGGAGGGUCCAUAACUGCUAAGUUUGACAUAACUACCUACUGCACCUUUAAGAUGUCUAGGGCGUACCCCGCCAGCCCCGUUUCACCUCUUUAAAAUUCUUCAUUGGGAGUGUGGGAGUAGUGAGGUCUGGGAGAUCACGACCUUAAUUCUCUUCAAGACAGACGGUUUAAUUAACACUGCAGAAUUCCUCACUGACUCCAGACCUCCACAAUAAGAAUGUACUGGGGGAAUUGGAUUGCACAGGAGCCUGCCACUGUGGUCCACUGGAAGAAGACCACCUCACAGGGAUUUUCCUCUUCACCAGAGGCAGCAGAGAGAGAUUCAGGGAGAAAGUUUUGACAGGAGUGUCAAAAAUGAGCUCAAGGAGCGCAGAUCUAAGAAGCCAGCUUGAAAAUGGAAGAUGAAGAUAAGGAGGCGAACAUCUUGAUGGAGGAAAAAAAUAGCAAUAACCAUAGGAGGGAAAAGGAAUUUCCUUUAUGUAUUUCCUUGUUCUGUUUGAGUUUCCAACUGUAAACAAAUGUUUAAAGCACUAGCACCAUCGUGUUGCUCACAUGACUAAAUUAAAAUCCUAAAAUAUUCAGUAA